rnacentral:rRNA from 1 species
GACGAACGCUGGCGGCGUGCUUAACGCAUGCAAGUCGAACGGAAAGGCCCUGCUUUUGUGGGGUGCUCGAGUGGCGAACGGGUGAGUAACACGUGAGUAACCUGCCCUUGACUUUGGGAUAACUUCAGGAAACUGGGGCUAAUACCGGAUAGGAGCUCCUGCUGCAUGGUGGGGGUUGGAAAGUUUCGGCGGUUGGGGAUGGACUCGCGGCUUAUCAGCUUGUUGGUGGGGUAGUGGCUUACCAAGGCUUUGACGGGUAGCCGGCCUGAGAGGGUGACCGGCCACAUUGGGACUGAGAUACGGCCCAGACUCCUACGGGAGGCAGCAGGGGGGAAUAUUGCACAAUGGGCGGAAGCCUGAUGCAGCAACGCCGCGUGCGGGAUGACGGCCUUCGGGUUGUAAACCGCUUUCGCCUGUGACGAAGCGUGAGUGACGGUAAUGGGUAAAGAAGCACCGGCUAACUACGUG